rnacentral:tRNA from 1 species
AGCCUUAAAAGCUAAAUGGCUAGCUUUUAAUCUUGUAAAUUAAAGGAAGAAGGUUCGAAUCCUUUUUAAGGUUU